rnacentral:misc_RNA from 1 species
AUCUUGCCAAACAACUCGAAUGGACCCACAUAGUGUUUAGUCCCUGUUUGAAGGCAGAUGUGGCCGAGAUUAGGGGCGUUGGGGAUGACUGCCUGAAGGACGUUCCGGAGCAUGCUACCGUUAAUCUCGCAGUUCUCGGCCUCCGAUGAUCGGUUAGCCCAGGAGACAUAGAAGAUGUGAGUGACAUCAGUGAGCUGGGAUAACUUGGCUUGGGUUUCAGCCUGAUCGGAGAUGUCACACUGGACAUACUCUACAGGAUGGUCGGCGUUCCAGUUGGGCCGGGGACGGCGUGCGAC